UACGAAGGGGGCUAGCGUUGCUCGGAAUGACUGGGCGUAAAGGGUGCGUAGGCGGCUUUUUAAGUCUGGUGUGAAAUCUCCCGGCUCAACUGGGAGGGUGCGCCGGAUACUGAGGGGCUUGAGUCCGGAAGAGGCGAGUGGAAUUCCUGGUGUAGCGGUGAAAUGCGCAGAUAUCAGGAAGAACACCCGUGGCUAAGGCGGCUCUCUAGUACGGUACUGACGCUGAGACGCGAAAGCGUGGGGAGCGAACAGG
rnacentral:rRNA from 1 species